GCUCUCCAUUCAGAAGCACAUUUACUAAAAUUUGGAAGAUACAAGGAAGUUUAGUGUGGUCCUUGUGCAAGGAUGACAAGCAAAUUCAUGAAGUGUUCCACAUUCAA
rnacentral:snRNA from 1 species